AGCUCAAUGGCAGAGCAGAAGCUUCCCAAGCUUACGACGAGGGUUCGAUUCCCUUC
rnacentral:tRNA from 3 species